rnacentral:rRNA from 1 species
GAUGAACGCUGGCGGCGUGCCUAAUACAUGCAAGUCGAGCGAACAGACGCGGAGCUUGCUCCUCUGACGUUUGCGGCGGACGUGUGAGUCACACGUGUAUAACCUACUUAUCAGACUGGGAUACCUUCGGGAAACCGGAUCUAAUACCGGAUAAUAUAUUUACCCGCAUGGUUCAAUAGUGAAUGUCGGUUUUUCUGUUACUUCUAGCUGGAUCGGCGCCGCUUUAGCUAGUUGGUAAGGUAACGGCUUACCAAGGCAACGAUGCGUAGCCGACCUGAGAGGGUGAUCGGCCACACUGGAACGGAGACACGGUCAAGAAGCCGACGGGAGGGAGCAGUAGGGAAUAUUCCGCAAUGGGGGAAAGCAUGACGGAACAAGGGCGAGUGAGUGAUGAAGGACUUCGGAUCGGAAAACACUGUUAUUAGGGAAGAACAAAUGUGAAAGGAAAUAAGCACGAAGUGACGGUACCUAAAGAGAAAGCAACGGCUAACUACGUG